rnacentral:rRNA from 1 species
UGCCCUACGGGGGGCAGCAGUGAGGAAUAUUGGUCAAUGGGCGAGAGCCUGAACCAGCCAAGUCGCGUGAGGGAGUACUGCCCUAUGGGUUGUAAACCUCUUUUGUCGGGGAGCAAAAGCCGGACGUGUCCGGCUGUGAGAGUACCCGAAGAAAAAGCAUCGGCUACCUCCGUGCCAGCAGCCGCGGCAAUACGGAGGAUGCGAGCGUUAUCCGGAUUUAUUGGGUUUACAGGGUGCGCAGGCGGAUUUUUACUUCAGCGGCCAAUUCGUGGGGCUCAACCCCAUCC